rnacentral:rRNA from 1 species
GAAUAAGUGGUGGGCAAGACGGUUGCCAGCCGCCGCGGUAAUAACCGCGCCACGAGUCGUAGUCACGAUUAUUGGGUCUAAAGCAUCCGUAGCUGGUUCAGCAAGUCCUCGGUGAAAUCCGACAGCAAACUGUCGGGCGUGCCGAGGAUACUACUAGACUAGAGACUGGGAGAGGUCUGGAGUACUUCGGAGGUAGGGGUAAAAUCCUUUAAUCUCCGAGGGACUACCUGUGGCGAAGGCGCCAGACUAGAACAGAUUUGACAGUGAGGGAUGAAAGCUAGGGGAGCGAUCGGGAUUAGAUA